CCAGGCCCCACCCUGCUGCAGAUCGCAAGACCAUCGCCUUCUUCAAACCGCUGCUGGUUUUUCCUGACCUUCUGCCCCACGCACAGAAGGAGCUGUUUACUUCACGACUAGGAUGUGUCAUUCACAUGCCACUCUGGGGACUCAGAGAGGCCAGAGGAGGAGACUGUCUCCUGGCCGCACAGCUCGGAGGAGGCUUGCAUCCCUGGUAACCCUUCACAGGACCUGCUGCGGGGAGCUGAGUGCUUUGUACCUGGCUGCCUGGGCCAAGAGCACGCGUGAUCUCUGGUCUUUGCUGUGGUCUGUAAGACCUCUACUUGCGGCAUGCGAACUCUUAGUUGUGGCGCGUGGGA